rnacentral:rRNA from 1 species
UACAGAGGUCCCAAGCGUUGUUCGGAUUCACUGGGCGUAAAGGGUGCGUAGGCGGUCGGGUAAGUCUGAUGUGAAAUCUCCAAGCUCAACUUGGAAAUGGCAUCGGAUACUAUUCGGCUCGAGGAAUGGAGGGGAGACUGGAAUACUUGGUGUAGCAGUGAAGUGCGUAGAUAUCAAGUGGAACACCAGUGGCGAAGGCGAGUCUCUGGACAUUUCCUGACGCUGAGGCACGAAAGCCAGGGGAGCAAACGGG